GGGGGUGCAAUGGUUUCGACGGGGGUCUUGAAGCGGGAGAAGCAAGCCGAGUUGCGGGGACUCGCAAAACACCGCAACCUAUAAAUGAAAGAACAACAAUAAAGUUGCUCUUGCAGCCUAAAUAGGCUGCCGUCCGCCCCGGGAGGACCACGGCCCGGGUGACGGGCGUCGUCAGUGGUGCACGUGAGGCGGGUAAGCUUUGCCCCGCCCAUGAAUCAUGAAGCUACCGACUGGGGCAGCCGGCCGCAUGGCGGCUCCACGGGGGAAUCCCAAACACGCGGCUAAGCUUGUAGAAACUCCCGGGGAUGGGCUUUCGGACAGGAGUUCGAUUCUCCUCACCUCCACCA
rnacentral:tmRNA from 2 species